rnacentral:rRNA from 1 species
CCUACGGGGCGCAGCAGUGGGGAAUAUUGCACAAUGGGGGAAUCCCUGAUGCAGCAACGCCGCGUGGGUGAAGAAGUAUUUCGGUAUGUAAAGCCCUAUCAGCAGGGAAGAGAAUGACGGUACCUGACUAAGAAGCCCCGGCUAACUACGUGCCAGCAGCCGCGGUAAUACGUAGGGGGCAAGCGUUAUCCGGAUUUACUGGGUGUAAAGGGGGCGCAGACGGCGAUGCAAGCCAGGAGUGAAAGCCCGGGGCCCAACCCCGGGACUGCUCUUGGAACUGCGUGGCUGGAGUGCAGGAGGGGCAG